UUAUAUUCACUGAUUGUUAAUAUGUGUUCCUCAAUAUGUUUUCUCCAAGACCGCAGCAACAUGUUCUUCAUGUUGACUGUAGUGUUUGGUGCAGUGAGUAUGAGUCUUCUCACUAUCCUGAUCUUCAUCAUACUGAAACACAGAAAAAAAACUAACAGGUGCUAAUACUGAAGUUUAUGAGGACCGGGAGUCUGAACCCCUGAAUCUACGAAUCUACACCUCUCUAAAAAGAAAGGCAAGAGGAAAUGGGAACACGAUACAAUGGAAUAUCAAUAUGUUAUUUAUUCUUCUGUCAAAGAAGAUUAUAUAUAUUUAUAUAUAUAUAUAUAUAGAAUCUACUGCUGAAGAAACAAUAUCUACUGCUAUCUAUCAGUCAAUAUCUAUAUCUGUCAAUAUCUAUCAAUAUCUAUCAAUAUCUAUCAGAAUCUACUGCUGAAGAAACAAUAUGAAAUGUAUAAAAAAAAGCAUUUACUCCAGUGCUAGUCAGCUAGUUGCUACCCAAGUAUAUCAAAAAUAAAUGUCUAUUAUUUUG